rnacentral:tRNA from 1 species
UGGGGGAUCGUUCAAUGGUAGGACAACGGACUCUGACUCCGUGAAUGGGGAUUCGACUUCCUCUCCCCCAGCCA